UGUUGCAGCCCUUAUUUUGAAGGCUGAUCAUUUUUUCAUUAUCAGUGUUCUUGCUAAAGCAAAGAGUCAAAUUCUACUCUUGAAUGUACCUCCUGGGCUCCCAGAGAAGUCUCCAGAGUUUAUUAAUCUCAUAUAAACCAAGACAAUUAAUAAUAUUUAGUGGAGGGGAACAUUAAUACAAAAACUGAACAUUACUUUCCAUUUAGUUUUGUGGGACAAGGGCCGGGUUGGUAGCUGCUAUUUAAUAGCAGGGAAAAAAACACUCCAAGACCCACUGCCUAUUACUGUGAGAAGACAUAAGGGAAACAAAGCCACUGAAGAUAGAAGAUCAACGGGAGUUUUACCACUGAGCUCAAGGGGAGCAAAGGAGACACAUUGAAAAUAUAAGGAACUGAGAAAAUAUGAAAUAUCCCUUCAUCAGCCGUAGGAUUGAGAGUGUCCUUACGGAAACGUCCUCCUCAACGCAGGCAUUACUGCCAAAAUGUUCUGAUCACAGGAAACAUUGGACAGCAUGGAGAAGCAGGAAAAUAACAUUGAUCAGCUAAUGUGACACAAAUGCAUUUAUCAUCAUGGUCCCUCUUUGCAAUCUUCUGCUGUAAGGAAUAGAUUCACCUCUUCUGCUAGCAGCGACAUCCUCAGCUACAGAGGAAUCUGUGGUUGAAAGGAGAUCAACAGAGAACCAAGCAGCAGCAGUAGCAUGGCUCUGGAUCCGACUCAGGAAAGCAUCUCUAUUCAGGAAAGCACUUAAGCCCAAACACCACUCUGUUCCUUCUACAAACUCAAGCAUCUCUUGAAAGAUUAUAAAAUAGUGGGGCCGCUUGGCAGGUUGGUUGCCUGGAUUUGCCCUAUCUCAAAGAACAACUAUGUGCGAAAGAGAAGCCAAGAAGCAGAUGCUGGACUGAGAUGUGUGGAAUGAUUUGAAAUAUUGUGGAACUAGUUCCUUAUUAUAUCCAUUAUCCAGAAUUCAAAAAGUAUCCAAUGUGAAGAAAACUAACUGGUAGACUAAUUAAAGUAUUAUUGUAAUGACUAAAUCACAGAAAUGCCAUAAUAUGCAGUAUGUAUAUUUUGGAAUCAUGCCUACAAUUUUGUAUAUUACAGGUCUAAAAAAGACAAUUCACAUUCAUGUAACGUUCAUACAUCUGUAGGAGGAACUGGACCAUCCUUCUCAGUAUAAAAGUUUAAAAUUAAACUAAAUAUAUUAUUUAAAAUGUUUUAUUACUUUCAUAGUCGUUAAAAAUCAACACUAAUGACAGACUUGAACCAGGACCCCAUACCUAAGUCAGCUCACACUUCAGGAUGUUUGUAUCUGAGUUUCUCAGCUCUGGCCAUCUCUAAUAAAAACAGCAGGUUGAGCCCAAUUAUGGAACUGAGUUGUCAAUACAGUAUUUGUCAGAGCUCAGAAUUAAAUGGUUGCCUGAUUGAUUAGUUUGAUGAAUGAGUUGCUCAAAAGUUUUGUAUUUUUCUUGUUGAUCAAAAGGCAAUAUUGAGUAUAUUGCUAGAUUAAGCAAAAACCUCUGGCAAGGAUGAACUACCAUUUAGGUUACCUCCUUUAAGAAGUUAUUUUCCGGCCCCAUAUGUUUGCUGCAGAGAUUAAGAGCAUUGUUAAUGAGGCUAAAGAAAUGCAAUUUCUUAAUCUACCCUUUUUGUUUUUGAUCACUGAUUCUCAAACUGGUGGUAACGACGACUGAUUUAAAGGAAGUGGGCCAGAUGACAGAGUGGUUUUCAUUCAUUAGUGGGCUGGCAGCUCACAAAACAAAUGAAUGGAUGUUAAACUAUAAUUUUCUCAAUGUCUAUUUGAUUGACAAUUAGCUCCUAAAACUGGAGUUGGAGAAACACCUGCUAAAUAAAUUUCACAACAAUCUUGUAUGUUUAGUCAAUUCCACUCAAAGCAGGAGCUGAUGCUUGAGCAGUCAGUCAGUGCUAACCUAAAUUUGCAGUCACCAACCAAAUUCAAAACAGGAGACAAGUAGAGGGCAGCGGAAAGAGUGGGAGGUGCAGUAGCAACCUCCGGUGCACAAACCAUACAUACUGGCAAAGUCUACAAGAUGUAAGAAACACAUAUCAAGCCCAGUUCUGCCAUUAGUUACACCAGUGUAACUUUACUAAGUUUAACUGAGUUACUUCAAAUUUAUAUCUGUGUGACUGACAAUAGUAUUCAGAUCUUUGUGAUUUAGAGUAACUAUUUUCCAGUGCCACCUGAGAAUAUAUGCCUUCCACCUCUCCUUUAGAUUUCUUCCAGUGAACUAAUCGAGAAAAUGUUUUCAAAAGCUGAUGUCUGCACGCCAGCUAGUCACUGGUGCACUAUUCAGCUGCAAGGAUCUGCCUGCAGAAUCUCAGCCUAUGUAGUCCAACAGUAGUUUUUAUGUUUCCUCUCAUUGAUUGCAUUUGCUCCAGCUACUUAUUCCUGGAUGUUGUCACAAUAUCUGUAUAAUAUAAUACUUUGUUGCUCUACAUGUUAAAGGUGCCAUAAAAAUAUAAUUAAUCCCAAUCAGUUAAUCAGAGUGGGGGUUAUACUUUUGUAUGAAUAGGAAUAAGUGAUUGACUCCUUUUGUUUGUGUAAAUGUACCUAAAAAUUAAAGAAACAAAGUGUAUUCAUUCCAUUAUUUUAAUAAAUUUUUUUUGCAUCUUUCCAUGAAUCUCAAUUACUUCAAGAUUAAAUGAGUAAAUUGUCUAAGACACUGGAUGUUCACUGAAGUCAUUUGUUUUUCCAAUCAAUUUGUAUUAUACUUUUAAUCACCACCAAU